CGCUAAUUCAGUCCUGGGCUGCUCCCUUCCUCCAGGCCGUCCGCACUCCUCGGCUCGUGGCCCCUUCGGCUGUCUUCAGAGCCAGCAAACAUUAUGAAGAAAUCAAGCGUCACUGUUUUACUGAUCCGAGAUGAGACUUCAACAUCUUGGGCAAAUACUGCUAAUCCAUUGCAGUUGGC